UUUUUUUUUUUCCUGCUGAUAAUUCUUGUUCUAUUCUGCUUAAAAGUUUUGCAGAUAUAUAGUUGCACGCGUAUCUGCAAAACUUAAUGGUUACGUUGUUUUCUUAAUUAUUGAUGCUUUGCUAGGAAAUUCCACUCAUCAAGAGAAAUUAGAGUAUAACUAAUAUGCAAAAUGCAUUAUGUUUUCAUGCAUUCUGCUUAAUUGAAAGUUUGGCAGAUAUACAGUUGCGUGCCUAUCUGCAAAACUUAUUGUUUACUUAAUUAUUGAUGCUUUGAUAGGAAACUGCACUCAUUUGCAAAAUGCAUUUUCCUUUCAUGUAUUU
rnacentral:misc_RNA from 1 species